CCCCCCCCCUUCCCCCCCCCCCCCCCCCCCCGCCGCGGUGAUUCAUUGCCGCCCCCAUCUUUCCCCUCUUAUCUGAUUCAUCGCCGCCCCCAUCGUGGUGGAUCACCACCACCGACGGUAGGCAAAUUGCUGUACUCCUAUUAAGGCCACUGUGUGAGGGAGGACGCUGCAUCUGCUGAGGUCCUGGUACCGUCUCUCCGUCUCUAUCUCGUUGCCACCUUCGCCUCACCACGGGUAGAAAGGUCACUGUCGAUCCAUAACGCCGUGCAGUCUUCGUGCCAACAACGAGAAUCACCCCUGCCGCUCCGCCUGCCUGAUCUCCACCGCCAGACACCGUUGCCCGUCUCCACUCCUCGUCGCCCGCCUCGGUUGUCUCCUCCCAUCCUCCGCGCCGCCCCCGAUCUCCACCGCUAGGACACCGUCGCCUGCCUUGUCGACCAACUCACGGAUCUCUGAUUCGCACAAAGUAAAGCGCGUGACAUCAUCUGGUACGAACCAAACAACCCCUGCACGCACGCCCGCGGCGCAUCUCCUCCCGAGCCCCGGCAACAAGCUCGCCACCGCAGCGCAUCAGGGCACCGGGCACAGAGCAUCUCUUGCUGCUCAGCACCUCCGGCCGCCACCUCCCGAAGCGGCUGGUGGAGGUCGAGUGCGGGGAUCCAGGCCUGAGGAGCUGCUCCACUGCUGGCGGUCGUCGGCCGGCUGACGCGCCGAUCCAUCCGGGGCCAUCGGUCCGUGACCAUCCCGAAUUGUGGUAUCUGGCGGCACCAGCGCCAUCACCGCCCCCAAUGGCAGCUGCGAAGCUCACCGCCUCUGCUGUGUUUAGGAGCAACCAGGAGCUCACGUCGCUGGCGCGCUCGGGCCAGCUGGCCGCCGCGCGCCGCCUGUUCGAGGAGAUGCCCCGCCGCAACGUGGUCUCCUACAACGCGAUGGUCUCCGCGCUGGCCCACCACGGCCGCCUCGCCGAGGCGCGCAGGCUGUUCGACGAGAUGCCGCGCCGCAACCCCGUGUCCUGGAACACCAUGAUGGUGGCAUGCUCUCAGCACGGGCGCGUCGAGGAUGCGCGAGGGCUAUUCGAUGCAAUGCCCGCCCGAAACGAGUACUCCUGGACAAUCAUGGUAUCCUGCUACGUGCGGGCUGGUGAGCUCACCCUCGCAAGGGAGCUGCUCGACCGCAUGCCCGGGGAGAAGUGCGCGGCGUGCUACAACACCAUGAUCUCCGGGUAUGCCAAGAACGGCAGGUUUGAGGAUGCAAUUGCUUUGUUGCAGGAGAUGCCGGCCCCUGAUAUUGUUUCAUGGAACUCAGUGUUGGGGGGGCUCAUCCGGAAUGAGGAAAUCUCUCGAUCAGUGCAGUUCUUUGAUGAGAUGCCAGAUAAGGACUUGGUGUCCUGGAACUUGAUGCUAGAGGGGUAUGUGCGUGCUGGGGAUUUGGAUGUGGCCAGUGCAUUCUUUUCAAGGAUCCCCUCACCUAAUGUUAUUUCUUGGGUUAACUUGGUCAAUGGGUAUUGUCAGGCAGGGAGGAUGGGCGAGGCAAGAGAAUUGUUUGAUAGAAUGCCUGAGCGUAAUGUUGUGGCUUGGAAUGUGCUGCUUUCUGGGUAUGUGCAGUUCUCUCAGGUGGAGGCGGCCUAUAAUCUGUUUAUAGAGAUGCCAGAGAAGAAUUCAAUCUCAUGGACAACGAUGGUGAGUGGUUUUGUACGUUCUGGGAAGCUCCAAGAAGCGAAGGAUGUGCUCAGCAAGAUGCCUUCCGACAAUGUCGGAGCAAAGACUGCACUGAUGCAUGGCUAUUUGAAAAGCAACCUGAUUGAUGACGCCCGUCAACUAUUUGAUGGAAUUGUGGUUCGGGAUGCAGUGUGCUGGAAUACAAUGAUAUCAGGAUAUGUUCAGUGUGGUAUGCUUGAUGAGGCCAUGGUUUUAUUCCAGCAAAUGCCGAACAAGGAUAUGAUUUCUUGGAACACCAUGAUUGCUGGCUGUGCUCAGGGUGGACAAAUUCGCAAGGCAGCCAGUAUUUUCAGGAAAAUGAAGAGGAGAAAUACAGUUUCAUGGAAUUCAAUUAUCUCUGGAUUUGUUCAAAAUGGUCUAUUUGUUGAAGCACUGCAGCAUUUUAUGCUUAUGAGAAGGGAUGCAAAGAGCGCUGACUGGUGUACAUAUGCAUGUUGUCUAAGUGCAAGUGCAAAUUUGGCUACUCUGCAAAUAGGGAGACAAUUCCACAGUCUUCUUGUCAGGACUGGGUUUAUCAGUGAUUCUUCUCCUGGAAAUGCCUUGAUUUCUGCCUAUGCUAAGUGUGGAAGGAUGUUGGAAGCAAGACAAGUCUUUGAUGAGAUGGUAGUACAAGACAUCGUUUCAUGGAAUGCACUCAUCGAUGGCUAUGCUUCUAAUGGUAAUGGGUCUGAGGUGAUAGCAGUAUUCCGGGAAAUGGAAGCUAACAGUGUCAGACCUGAUGAGAUCACGUUGGUAGUUGUGUUAUCAGCUUGCAGUCAUGCUGGGUUAAUUGAUGAAGGAUUGCAUUUCUUCAAUUCGAUGAUAAAAUUGUACUCGUUAAAGCCUGUGGCUGAGCAUUAUACCUGUAUGGUUGAUCUUCUUGGAAGAGCUGGGAGACUAAGAGAGGCAUUUGAACUUGUUCAGGGAAUGCAGAUCCAACCAAAUGCUGGUGUCUGGGGUGCAUUGCUUGGAGCAUGCCGCGUACACAAGAAUCACGAGAUAGCAUGGCUUGCAGCUGAGAAGUUAUUUGAAUUGGAACCUUGCAAGGCCUCAAAUUAUGUCUUGCUGUCAAACAUCUGUGUGGAGGCAGGGAAAUGGGAUGAUGCUGACAAGGUGAGGGUUUUGAUGAAAGAGAGGUGUGUAUACAAGCCACCUGGAUUAGCUGGAUCAAUGUAGUCAGUACUCUUGGAUAUAACGAUCAGUACUCCUGGAUAUAUAUAACAAGGAAUCACAAGGCCGAGCCCAUCAGCAGCAGGGGCACAGGCGCACAGCAUGGGGAAGUUGGCAGCAGCACCACCAAGAAGGGUGACCACCAUCGUGCCACUGCAAGCCCGAUGGAAUUGAAGUGGGAGGCUGCAAGCAGCAUAAGAACAAAAGGGAACCUAUCAGCUCCUCAAUCAAGUACUUCCGUAUUUUGUUCUAUCAAAUUUUUGGACCAACAAAGCUUUGGAUGCUCAUGCAUAAUAAUUUGCAGCAUAUUACGAUCAUGCAAUAUUCAUAUCAGCAAUAAAAUGUUGGAUAAUUCUGGAUAUAGGUGUUAUGGAGCUUCCUGGAAGCCUAGGCAUUGUUUGUGGAAGUGGCAAGAACAAAAGGAUUUCAAGGCAUUGCUUGAGCUAUCUUUGGAGUUUGGAUCCAAGGUGGAAAUCAGAAGGGCGUUUCAGAAAAGGAUACUGUCAAGUUCUAGAAAUCGUACUUGAAAGAUGAUGCAGUGCAACAAUACGAUGAUCAUGGGCUCAUGGAUGGCAGAAUAAAACAAUGAG